UUUUUUUUUUUUUUUGUCAACUGUUUCAAAUACUGCCAAAUCGUGGUUUCUUGUUUGAGCUUGUUGAGUGUGUAACUGAGUUGCCUUUUUGGUAUGAAGACAGUUUUCACCAACAUGGCAACAAGAGGAAGUCUAAAAUUCUCCACGCUGCCUCCCACCCAAUCUGUGAGCUGGCAAAACCAGAAUAGAUACAGUCACCACGAAGUGGGCAUCAUCAUCCACUAACUCUCUCCUCUCCGCUCCCGGGGCACACCACAUGAGGCAGAGGUUCUUGAGCCCAUUUGACGGAUGAGGAAACUAAGGCUCAGAAAGGUGAGGUCUUCUGCCUGAGGUCACAGUCACAGGCAGAGCAAGGAUGUCAAUCCACGUCUGUUGGACAUCAAAAGGUGGUGUUUCACCUGACCACUACAGCACUUUCUAGAUCCCAUGCCUUCAUAGUUUCCUGAAGCAAAGUCCCCUUAAGAACCAAGAAGUCUGCCAUCAUUUGUGAUCAUCCUGCGGCUUUUCAUUCCCUGCUUAGUCGGAUCCAUAUCCGCCAGCUGUUUGAAGGUUCGGCCGCUUUAGGGGGCAUCUUGCUUGCUUUUCCAUCCCUUUUUUCGGGGUCCUUUGAGACAAGUUACAAUAUGGAUUUGGGUUCACAUUGUGGCCUCAACUUGAUAGCUGUGUGGCUUCUGAGCCUCAGUUUUCUCAUCUGUACCUGGGGGGUGAUGGUGCCCACUUCCUCGGGGGAGGGACCACGUGACACCAGGGCUGGCUUGCCAUCACUGUUAGAAGCCUGCCUCCCUGCUCCAUGGUGUCCAUGUCACCCUGAUUGGGAGUGUGCCGAGGUCACAUGUGGAGGGAUUUCACGAAAAACUUGUUUUUCUGCAUGUGGGUUUAGUCACUCUUGUGACUCAAGGGGGCCCCCUCCCUUGGAUCCAGCCUUUUGGGUUCGUCAGAUGACAUGGGGCGAUGGGUUGAACUGAAGCCUGAGUUAUCUACAGGAACAGAGCAGAUUUAAUGCCAUGAUGGCAGGGGACCUGAACCCACCAGAAACUGCGAGUGCCUCCCCCCUCCUGUUCUCAAAACACAUCCACCCCACCACUGUGGAAGAGUGUGGAGGCACCUAUUGGCAUAGGCCUAGACUCUCAUCCCAUUUGGUACCCUCCUCUCAGAACCUGGCCCAGCCAUCCUGGAGGGAAAGCAUGAGAAGGGAAGGUGGACAGUCCUGAGCUCUGCUGUGUGACCUUAGGCUGCUCAGUUUCUCUCUCUGAGCUCCAGCUUCUGUAAUCUGCAAGCUGUAAAUACUGCUGCUUCCCCCUAGGACCGAAUUUCUCACCUCAACCCUGUUGCCACGUUGAGCCAGAUCAUUCUUGUUGCCAAGGGCUGUCCUGAGCACUGUAGAAUGUUUAGAAUCCUCUCUGGCUUCUAUCCACUAGGUGCCAGUGGCAUCCCCCUCCCAAAUUGUGGCAACCAAAAAUGUCCCAGGACAUGUCUCCCAUGGUUCCCCCCCAGCCCCCUGCCCCAACCAUUGUGUUAGAAUAUACGUAUCAGUUAUGGAGAGUUCCAUUAGCCAUGCCCCGUAAUUUUCCACCCCCUCCUCCCCAUUUGCAGCUACCUUGCCUACCACCUGUUCAUCCCUCAGUUGCUUUGGAAGGAACAGGUCACAGGGACUGUAGAUGUCAUAGAGAAACUGCAUCUGACCUCAGGGCUGGGCCCCCUGUUGCACCUGAAAGGGCAGAUCUCCAUGAUCAGGGUGACAUCCUGUCUCUGCCCAGCCCCAGCCUCCUUCGCUUGUGGGCACAGACAUCAUCAGUGGGCCCAAGGGCAGAGCCACAGACAAGCAACGCAGCUGAUAUGACUCGGGUGGUCUGGAAUGAUUGCAUGUUGAGAAGCAUCCUCUAAACGGACUAGCCCGGAAUGCACCCCCUGAGAUUUAAAGCAGUUUUCCUGGAUGAUUUAUAUAUUCGGAUAUUCAGCGGUGUGGUAAUUAAAGCGAUGUCAAAAA